rnacentral:rRNA from 1 species
AUUGAACGCUGGCGGCAGGCUUAACACAUGCAAGUCGAGCGAGCGGCGGACGGGUGAGUAAUGUCUGGGAAACUGCCUGAUGGAGGGGGAUAACUACUGGAAACGGUAGCUAAUACCGCAUACCAUCGGAUGUGCCCAGAUGGGAUUAGCUAGUGGGUGGGGUAAUGGCUCACCUAGGCGACGAUCCCUAGCUGGUCUGAGAGGAUGACCCGCCACACGGGGACUGAGACACGGGCCAGACUCAUACGGGAGGCAGCAGUGGGGAAUAUUGCACAAUGGGCGCAAGCCGGAGGCAGCCAUGCCGCGGGUGUGAAGAAGGCCUUCGGGUUGUAAAGCACUUUCAGCGGGGAGGCGGUACUCGCAGAAGAAGCCCCGGCUAACUCCGUGCCAGCAGCCGCGGUAAUUC